GAGGCGACCGGCGAGGCGGUCGCGUCCGCCGCCUCUUGGGCGGCGACAGAGGCUGGCGUGGGGGAGUUCUUGUCUUUCUUGCCCGU
rnacentral:tRNA from 2 species